UACGUAGGGUCCGAGCGUUGUCCGGAAUUACUGGGCGUAAAGAGCUCGUAGGUGGUUUGUCGCGUUGUUCGUGAAAACUCACAGCUCAACUGUGGGCGUGCGGGCGAUACGGGGCAGACUAGAGUACUGCAGGGGGAGACUGGAAUUCCUGGUGUAGCGGUGGAAUGCGCAGAUAUCAGGAGGAACACCGGUGGCGAAGGCGGGUCUCUGGGCCGUAACUGACGCUGGAGGAGCGAAAAGCGUGGGGGAGCGAAACAGGG
rnacentral:rRNA from 1 species